rnacentral:rRNA from 1 species
CAGCCGCCGCGGUAAUACAGAGGGUGCGAGCGUUAAUCGGAUUUACUGGGCGUAAAGCGUGCGUAGGCGGCUUCUUAAGUCGGAUGUGAAAUCCCUGAGCUUAACUUAGGAAUUGCAUUCGAUACUGGGAAGCUAGAGUAUGGGAGAGGAUGGUAGAAUUCCAGGUGUAGCGGUGAAAUGCGUAGAGAUCUGGAGGAAUACCGAUGGCAAAGGCGACUAUCUGGGCCAACACUGACACUGAGGCACGAAAGCGUGGGGAGCAAACAGGAUUAGAUACCCCCGUAGUCCCUGUCUCUUAUAC